GCCCGCCUAGCUCAAUCGGAUAGAGCGUCAGACUCUUACGUUGCCAGGCGGUUUGUGAUCUGAAGGCUGCGAGUUCGACCCUCGCGGUGGGCU